CCUACGGGAGGCAGCAGUGGGGAAUCUUGCGCAAUGGGCGAAAGCCUGACGCAGCCAUGCCGCGUGAAUGAUGAAGGUCUUAGGAUUGUAAAAAUUCUUUCACCGGGGACGAUAAUGACGGUACCCGGAGAAGAAGCCCCGGCUAACUUCGUGCCAGCAGCCGCGGUAAUACGAAGGGGGCUAGCGUUGCUCGGAAUUACUGGGCGUAAAGGGAGCGUAGGCGGAUAGUUUAGUCAGAGGUGAAAGCCCAGGGCUCAACCUUGGAAUUGCCUUUGAUACUGGCUAUCUUGAGUAUGGGAGAGGUUAGCGGAACUCCGAGUGUAGAGGUGAAAUUCGUAGAUAUUCGGAAGAACACCAGUGGCGAAGGCGGCUAACUGGCCCAUUACUGACGCUGAGGCUCGAAAGCGUGGGGAGCAAACAGGAUUAGAUACCCUGGUAGUCCACGCCGUAAACGAUGAGUGCUAGUUGUCGGCAUGCAUGCAUGUCGGUGACGCGAGCUACGACGUAUUAAGUACACCUCCGCCGUCGGGAGGUACGGUCGACGAAGAAUUAAACUAACGAAAGAAGUAGACGGCGUGAGACGCGACCGACGACGACGACGGAGGGAGGAGG
rnacentral:rRNA from 1 species